AACGGCCGCGGCGCUCGCUGA
rnacentral:miRNA from 1 species